rnacentral:rRNA from 1 species
UACGUAGGGUGCAAGCGUUGUCCGGAAUUAUUGGGCGUAAAGAGCUCGUAGGCGGUUUGUCGCGUCUGCUGUGAAAACUCGGGGCUUAACUCCGGGCCUGCAGUGGGUACGGGCAGACUAGAGUGCGGUAGGGGAGACUGGAAUUCCUGGUGUAGCGGUGAAAUGCGCAGAUAUCAGGAGGAACACCGGUGGCGAAGGCGGGUCUCUGGGCAAUAACUGACGCUGAGGAGCGAAAGCGUGGGGAGCGAACAGG